UAGGGAAUCUUCGGCAAUGGACGAAAGUCUGACCGAGCAACGCCGCGUGAGUGAAGAAGGUUUUCGGAUCGUAAAACUCUGUUGUUAGAGAAGAACAAGGACGUUAGUAACUGAACGUCCCCUGACGGUAUCUAACCAGAAAGCCACGGCUAACUACGUGCCAGCUGCCGCGGUAAUACGUAGGUGGCAAGCGUUGUCCGGAUUUAUUGGGCGUAAAGCGAGCGCAGGCGGUUUCUUAAUUCUGAUGUGAAAGCCCCCGGCUCAACCGGGGAGGGUCAUUGGAAACUGGGAGACUUGAGUGCAGAAGAGGAGAGUGGAAUUCCAUGUGUAGCGGUGAAAUGCGUAGAUAUAAGGAAGAACACCAGUGGCGAAGGCGGCUCUCUGGUCUGUAACUGACGCUGAGGCUCGAAAGCGUGGGGAGCAAACAGG
rnacentral:rRNA from 1 species